rnacentral:lncRNA from 1 species
UAACGUAACAUUUAAUAUAUAUAAAAUAGUAUUUAGUACAGUGGUAGGGUAUAUGCAUAACAGUAUGAUAGAAUCAUAAAAGACACCUGCCUAAUGCAGGUACUGAAAUAUUUUCAGUAAUAAGAAUCUACCAAUGUGCCCCUCUUUUAUUCUAUUUCCCUAUCUUCCUGUUUGGUAAAAAUAAUAUUAUACUGACAUAGUCUUUGGGUACUUUUUAAAAAAUAUGGGUCUAAAAUUCAUCUAUACUUUUUUGUAUUGCUCUACUUCAUUCAUUUAGUUGUUUUUUGAUAUGUCGUGGUUUCUCUGUGCUUUACUUAAUAGUUUUAUUGUCAAUGGACAUUCCCAAACUCUAGUUUCCUUGGGCACGGUGUUGUAUAAAUGGGGCUAGUCAUAGGGAAAAGGUAACUAAGAUAAAACCUACUGUUUAAUAUCAUCUUGCUGCAGCGUGUUUGAUCAUGGUUAAUAAUCCCAGGAAAUGUGAAUUAUUCUAAUGGUUCUUGGGCUCAUAUGACAUGUAUUUUGAGUACCAUACUCUCUCAGAUUAUAGUAAGUCUAUAAAUAUAAUAGAUGUAAUACAUUAUACAUUAUGGCACUUUCUAUCCACAGCAGGUAAAAAAUCUAGCCCUUGAGAGAUUAGCAACAUUUACCAAAUAAGAUAAAAUAGCAUUUAUUUAACACUAAGUGUACAGGAUGUUAAAGUUACUCUUGCUAUAGAUAAAUGAUGAAAAACUCUUUAUGGAUACAGAAUACAUGUUAAUAUUUAAACAAUUGAGGAAGCUGUUUUCAGCUUGUACUCCAAGAAGGAAAAGUAGUUUUUUUCCACAAAAACAGCUUGAAAAUAUCCCUAGUCGUUGCGAAACUGCCUACAAAUACAAUGGAAAGGAAAAUAUAGACCCUUUACAAGGAAGCCCAAGCUUAGUUUAAAAAGAGAGACAGUAAGCCAUCAGCAAAUUUAGCCAUUUUUGUUAAUCAGCAAAUCAGCAAAUCAGCAAAACUGAGGCCUGAUAUUUUGCAGAGCCUGCUGGAGGAAGUCAACAACUCCCACAGAAAUCAACUAAUAAAAAUUCAAAAACAAAGACUGCAUGAGAACAUUCCUGGAGUAUGGAUCAGCAGACAGGAGAUGUUUGAGAACAUACUAAUGUGGGAUUAGGAGCACUGGCACUGAAACAGGUUUCCAAGGGAAACUUGUAGAUCUCCUUUCCUGGAACCUUUUGAUCGACGCCUUACCAUCUGGCAUAGCUAAAAUCUGUCCUGCCUGAAGCAGAACUGAUGAUCUAAUGUCUAGAGGUCGCUUCCAAGCCUAUGACAGAGAACUAAAUUCAAGACAAUACAAAGAACAAAGCAUGGUGUCAAAUAAAUUGUUCAUAUUCUUCUUAAGUUCUCAAUUCCCUG